rnacentral:rRNA from 1 species
AUGCCUCCAGUUAUACCAUUAUCUUAUUUCUGUUCAAGCAAACAUGUCCAACGCUUGGUAGACAGGACCUACUACUGUCCCGGGGCUGAACUAAACUGCGAGGAGCUAAGUCAUUAUGUUUCAUGGCUUGCGGAUCUUGAUACUGUCAGGACAAAUUUUCUUCCUGUACUUAGAAAUGUUAGUACUGAAAACAUGCGACCAAUAGUGUUCGUAAUGAACUACGGUCACAUCUAUUUAGGAAAGAUGGGACUCCCGAUGAAUGUUGUGCCUCAUGGGAUUGAGACUAAAGGUACCAUGAGGAUUGUUAGCUUACGGCCAAGAUAUCCUACAAAUCACUUUAGUGCAUUCAGGAUUAGCGACGAAUUCUUAAUAGUGAAAGACUGGACCAAAUUUGUGAUGGAGGAGCGCAGAGAAGUACUAGGGGGCAGCAAUCAGAAGCGCAGCCCACGAUUAGGAGACAGGUUCAUCUACAUGCUCCAACUUGAUGAAGGAGGAGAGCUACACAUGUUUUAUGUUAUUUUACCUGAGAAAGAGCAGCAGGAGUGA